AUACGUAGGUGGCAAGCGUUGUCCGGAAUUAUUGGGCGUAAAGCGCAUGUAGGCGGUUUGGUAAGUCGGUCGUGAAAAUGCGGUGCUUAACGCCGUAUGGGGAUCGAAAAUGCUGAACUUGAGUGCAGGAGGGGAAAGGGGGACUCCCAGUGUUGCGGUGAAAUGCGUAGAUAUUGGGAAGAACACCGGUGGCGAAGGCGCCUUUCUGGACUGUGUCUGACGCUCAGAUGCGAAAGCCAGGGUAGCGAACGGGAUUAGAUACCCCGGUAGUCCUGGCCGUAAACGAUGGGUACUAGGUGUGGGAGGUAUCGACUCCUUCCGUGCCGGAGUUAACGCAAUAAGUACCCCGCCUGGGGAGUACGGCCGCAAGGCUUAAACUCAAAGGAAUUGACGGGG
rnacentral:rRNA from 1 species